GGCUAUGGUCAUUCCACCCUGAGUGUGCCAGAUCUUGUCUGAUAUCUGAAGCAGGGUCAAACCUGGUUAGUACUUCAAUGGGAGACCAUGUGGGAAUACCAGGUGCAAUAGGCU
rnacentral:rRNA from 1 species